AGAGAGUUCACUUCCUGACAAAGAAGCCAGCGCCUUCACACUCACAUAGCCAGCCUGGCUGCCUGUGGCAGGGCCCUGCUUCUUCGGCCUCUGGAUGGGAGGUGAUGAUCACUGAUAUUGGUGACGCUGUCAUCUCAUGGCCCCCAAAGCUGUGAGGCCCUAUGUGGAAUUCUAUACCUGCACUUACGCCCAUGCCAACUGUCCCUGGACCCUGCCGCACCCAGGCUCCCCUCCCCAGAACCCGAGCCUUCUCCUCCCGCUCAGCCAGAUGACCUGGUCUGUUUCCUCCCUCCAGGGGAUGAGGGAGGGGGACUUCCGAUGAACUCUGGCCGCGUGAUGGGAAUCCCUGAAGCCAGGAUGUUCUGUGGGAAAGAACUGGAAGGGAGUGCUGAGCCGAGUGACCCCGCUGGUCCUGGGGCCACUGCCUCAAAUCCAAAGGAGAGGGCCACCCCCAUCCCCAACCUCAGAAACCUCCUGAGAUACCCCGUGAUUGGGAGGGAGCCCACAGCUGCACACCGUGUACAUCAGGCCCAGCCCAGGAGCACGCCCCAAUUCCCAGGCUGACGCUGGGAGUGGGAGGGUGCCGGGCAGUCAUCCUCCUCUGACGCAUGGGGAGAUGAAGGCCUGGCAGAGAUGGUCUGGCUGGAGGCUGAGUGGAGCAGGGCUGAGAAGAGGCUGAGACCAUGGGGACAUGUCCACAGCUGGGGGUGGGGCAGGGGAGAGAGCAGUUACUGGCCCCAGCUGGGCUAAGUGAUGGCUCCAAAGGAAGGCUCAGGAAGGGUGGGCCAGGGACUACAGAAUCAGAGUCACUAACUCUAGCCCUGACCUGGGAUGACUGAGAAGGCAGGACUCAAUCCCUGAAGACCAGGAGUCAUAAGCCCAGUCCUAGAAAUGACUCGUAAAGAAUGCUGCUCCACAGAAGGGCAGGGGCCUUUCGGUGGAUGGAGGUCAAGGAGCACCCCCGUCAGUUCCCAAGCAAGCCUGAGACCAGGGAUGGAGGCAGGCUGGGCUCCCUGGACCCCUGGAACAGCCCGGUCUCAUCCCCUAAAGCCCUGGACCAGUGGACAGAGGCCAGGCUCUCCAGCUGCCCAGCUGCCCGGAAAACAGUGUGCGGACUCCCUUUGUGCCUCUGCCUCAGCCAGCGGGGUGACAUUGGACAAGUUGCUUAACCUCUCUAGACUUCAACUACCUUGUCUAUAAAAUGGGAAUAAUAGGCCGGGCACGGUGGCUCAUGCCUGUAAUCCCAGCACUUUGGGAGACCGAGGUUGGCGGAUCACAAGGUCAGGAGAUCGAGACCAUCCUGGCUAACAUGGUGAAACCCCGUCUCUACUAAAAAAAAUACAAAAAAUUAGCCGGGCGUGGUGGCAGGCGCCUAUAGUCCCAGCUACUUUGGAGGCUGAGGCAGGAGAAUCACUUGAACCCAGGAGGCAGAGCUUGCAGUGAGCCGUGAUCACGACACUGCACUCCAGCCUGGGCAACAGAGCAAGACUCCAUCUCAAAAUAAAUAAAUAAAUAAAAAUAAAUUUAAAAAA
rnacentral:lncRNA from 10 species